rnacentral:rRNA from 1 species
UACACUCCUGCGGGAGGCAGCAGUGGGGAAUUUUGGACAAUGGGGGCAACCCUGAUCCAGCAAUGCCGCGUGAGUGAAGAAGGCCUUCGGGUUGUAAAGCUCUUUUGUCAGGGAAGAAACGGUAGUAGCGAAUAACUAUUACUAAUGACGGUACCUGAAGAAUAAGCACCGGCUAACUACGUGCCAGCAGCCGCGGUAAUACGUAGGGUGCAAGCGUUAAUCGGAAUUACUGGGCGUAAAGCGUGCGCAGGCGGUUGUGUAAGUCAGAUGUGAAAUCCCCGGGCUCAACCUGGGAAUUGCAUUUGAGACUGCACGGCUAGAGUGUGUCAGAGGGGGGUAGAAUUCCACGUGUAGCAGUGAAAUGCGUAAAUAUGUGGAGGAAUACCGAUGGCGAAGGCAGCCCCCUGGGAUAACACUGACGCUCAUGCACGAAAGCGUGGGGAGCAAACAGGAUUAGAAACCCGUGUAGUCC